rnacentral:rRNA from 1 species
CACACUGGUACUGAGACACGGACCAGACUCCUACGGGAGGCAGCAGUAAGGAAUAUUGGUCAAUGGGCGGAAGCCUGAACCAGCCAUGCCGCGUGCAGGAUGACUGCCCUAUGGGUUGUAAACUGCUUUUGUCCAGGAAUAAACCUAAAUACGAGUAUUUAGCUGAAUGUACUGGAAGAAUAAGGAUCGGCUAACUCCGUGCCAGCAGCCGCGGUAAUACGGAGGAUCCGAGCGUUAUCCGGAUUUAUUGGGUUUAAAGGGUGCGUAGGCGGCUUAUUAAGUCAGGGGUGAAAGACGGUGGCUCAACCAUCGCAGUGCCCUUGAUACUGAUGAGCUUGAAUACACUAGAGGUAGGCGGAAUGUGACAAGUAGCGGUGAAAUGCAUAGAUAUGUCACAGAACACCGAUUGCGAAGGCAGCUUACUAUGGUGUGAUUGACGCUGAGGCACGAAAGCGUGGGGAUCAAACAGGAUUAGAUACCCUGGUAGUCCACGCCCUAAACGAUGAAUACUCGCUGUUAGCGAUACACAGUUAGCGGCUAAGCGAAAGCGUUAAGUAUUCCACCUGGGGAGUACGGUCGCAAGAUUGAAACUCAAAGGAAUUGACGGGGGCCCGCACAAGCGGAGGAGCAUGUGGUUUAAUUCGAUGAUACGCGAGGAACCUUACCCGGGCUUGAAAGUUAGUGAAUCAUUUAGAGAUAGAUGAGUGAGCAAUCACACGAAACUAGGUGCUGCAUGGCUGUCGUCAGCUCGUGCCGUGAGGUGUU